AGAAAUCAGCAAAGAGAAGAAGCUGGCAGUCAGAGCUGCCUAUGUGGAGGAGGAUAUACAAGUUUAACUACUAAAGGGCCAAAUACCAGAACCUCAUCAUAAGAGGAGGCGGUGCCUUUGCUGGAGAACACCAAUACCUUCUCAGAACACAUCAUGUCAAGGCACCAGACCUGUUUCCUUGGAGAAAGGCCUGCUCCCGGCAGUGGAUCAGCCCCUCUGCAUUUACCUGUGAAGAAGCUACAAGCCAGCAUGCCCAUCCUGCAGAGAGCACAAGUCACCAACGAAAGGGUCCUCCUUCUCCUUAAGUUGUUUACAACUACAAGUUUAAUAAAAUGUGAAUAGAUUUGUUUCUA